rnacentral:rRNA from 1 species
UGGGGAAUAUUGGACAAUGGGCGAAAGCCUGAUCCAGCAAUGCCGCGUGUGUGAAGAAGGUCUUCGGAUUGUAAAACUCUGUUGGUAGAGAAGAACGUUGGUGAGAGUGGAAAGCUCAUCAAGUGACGGUAACUACCCAGAAAGGGACGGCUAACUACGUGCCGG